AGAGUUUGAUCCUGGCUCAGAUGACGCUGGCGGCGCGCCAAAUACAUGCAAGUCGAGCGGUAAGGCCUCUUCGGAGGUACACGAGCGGCGGACGGCUGAGUAACACGUAGGAACGUACCCCAAAGUGAGGGAUAAGCACCAGAAAUGGUGUCUAAUACCGCAUGUGGCCCACGGGCUAAAGCUCCGGCGCUUUGGGAACGGCCUGCGUCCGAUUAGCUAGAUGGUGAGGUAAUGGCUCACCAUGGCGACGAUCGGUAGCUGGUCUGAGAGGAUGAUCAGCCAGACUGGGACUGAGAACGGCCCAGACUCCUACGGGAGGCAGCAGUAGGGAAUUUUCCACAAUGGGCGAAAGCCUGAUGGAGCAACGCCGCGUGCAGGAUGAAUGCCUUCGGGUUGUAAACUGCUUUUAUCUGUGACGAAUAUGACGGUAGCAGAUGAAUAAGGAUCGGCUAACUCCGUGCCAGCAGCCGCGGUCAUACGGAGGAUCCAAGCGUUAUCCGGAAUUACUGGGCGUAAAGAGUUGCGUAGGUGGCAAAGUGUGUCUGUAGUGAAAGCGUGGGGCUCAACCCCAUAUACAUUAUAGAAACUGCUUGGCUAGAGGACGAGAGAGGUUAUUGGAAAUUCCCAGUGUAGGAGUGAAAAUCCGUAGAUAUUGGGAGGAACACCGAUGGCGUAAGCAGAUAACUGGCUCGUUCCUGA
rnacentral:rRNA from 1 species